CCUACGGGAGGCAGCAGUGAGGAAUAUUGGUCAAUGGACGAGAGUCUGAACCAGCCAAGUAGCGUGAAGGAUGACUGCCCUCUGGGUGGUCAACUUCUUUUAUAAAGGAAUAAAACGAGGCUUGUGUGCCUUUUUGCAUGUACUUUAUGAAUAAGGAUCGGCUAACUCCGUGCCCUCAGCGGAGGUAAUACGGAGACUCCGAGCGUUAUCCGGAUUUAUUGGGGUUACAGGGAGCGUAGAUGGGUUGUUAAGUCAGUUGUGAAAGUUUGCGGCUCAACCGUAAAAUUGCAAUUGAUACUGGCAGUCGUGAGUACAGUAGAGGUAGGCGGAAUUCGUGGUGUAGCGGUGAAAUGCUUAGAUAGCACGAAGAACCCCGAUUGCGAAGGCAGCUUACUAAACUGUGACUGACAUUGAUGCUCGAAAGUGUGGGUAUCAAACAGGAUUAGAUACCCGAGUAGUC
rnacentral:rRNA from 1 species